GAUACCCCACUAUGCUCAGCUCUUAACAUAGACAGUAUUAACACAAGACUGUCCGCCAGAGGACUACAAGCGAAAAGCUUAAAACUCCAAGGACUUGGCGGUGCUUCAAACCAACCUAGAGGAGCCUGUCCUACAAUCGAUACCCCACGUUUUACCUUACCCCCCCUAGAAAAUCAGCCUAUAUACCGCCGUCGUCAGCCUACCUUAUGAAAGGAGUAAAGUAAGCAAAAAAGUUAUUUACUAACACGUCAGGUCAAGGUGUAGCAAAUGGGGCGGCAGAGAUGGGCUACAUUUUUUCAAAGAAAAAACACGAAUAGAACGUUGAAACACACACUUAAAGGAGGAUUUAGUAGUCAAAUAAAAAAGAAAACCUAUCUUAAACCUGCUCUGAAGCGCGCACACACCGCC
rnacentral:rRNA from 1 species